GCCUAUGACCAAGUUACCCGAAUAUUGCCGACCUCAUCAGAUUUUGGAAGCUAAGCAGGUUUGAGCCUGGAUAGUCCUUGGAAGAGUGACCACCAUGCAGAAGGCAGUGUUUACGUU
rnacentral:rRNA from 1 species